rnacentral:rRNA from 1 species
UACGAAGGGGGGCUAGCGUUGUUCGGAAUUACUGGGCGUAAAGCGCGUGUAGGCGGGUCUUUAAGUCAGGGGUGAAAUGCCAAGGCUCAACCUUGGAACUGCCUUUGAUACUGGAGAUCUUGAGUCCGGGAGAGGUGAGUGGAACUGCGAGUGUAGAGGUGAAAUUCGUAGAUAUUCGCAAGAACACCAGUGGCGAAGGCGGCUCACUGGCCCGGUACUGACGCUGAGGUGCGAAAGCGUGGGGAGCAAACAGGG